rnacentral:rRNA from 1 species
AGAACGAACGCUGGCGGCAUGCCUAACACAUGCAAGUCGAACGCUUGCCCGGUUUCGGCCGGGCAGGAGUGGCGCACGGGUGAGUAGCGCGUGGGAACCUGCCCUGUUGUGGGGGAUAACCGAGGGAAACUUCGGCUAAUACCGCAUGCGCCCCGGGGAAACCCGGGGGAAAGAUUUAUCGCAGCAGGAGGGGCCCGCGUCGGAUUAGCUAGUUGGUGGGGUAACGGCCCACCAAGGCUGUGAUCCGUAGCUGGUCUGAGAGGAUGAUCAGCCACACUGGGACUGAGACACGGCCCAGACUCCUACGGGAGGCAGCAGUGGGGAAUAUUGGACAAUGGGCGCAAGCCUGAUCCAGCAAUGCCGCGUGAGUGAUGAAGGCCUUAGGGUUGUAAAGCUCUUUCGCCCGCGACGAUGAUGACGGUAGCGGGAGAAGAAGCCCGGCUAACUUCGCGCCAGCAGCCGC